rnacentral:rRNA from 1 species
UACGUAGGGUGCAAGCGUUAAUCGGAAUUACUGGGCGUAAAGCGUGCGCAGGCGGCUUUGCAAGACAGAUGUGAAAUCCCCGGGCUUAACCUGGGAACUGCAUUUGUGACUGCAUCGCUGGAGUGCGGCAGAGGGGAUGGAAUUCCGGCGUGUAGCAGUGAAAUGCGUAGAUAUGCGGAGGAACACCGAUGGCGAAGGCAAUCCCCUGGGCCUGCACUGACGCUCAUGCACGAAAGCGUGGGGAGCAAACAGG